UACAUAGGGUGCGAGCGUUGUCCGGAAUUAUUGGGCGUAAAGGGCUCGUAGGCGGUCUGUUACGUCGGGAGUGAAAACUCAGGGCUCAACCCUGAGCCUGCUUCCGAUACGGGCAGACUAGAGGUAUGCAGGGGAGAAUGGAAUUCCUGGUGUAGCGGUGAAAUGCGCAGAUAUCAGGAGGAACACCGGUGGCGAAGGCGGGUCUCUGGGCCGAUACUGACGCUGAGGAGCGAAAGCGUGGGGAGCGAACAGG
rnacentral:rRNA from 1 species